UACGUAGGGUGCAAGCGUUAAUCGGAAUUACUGGGCGUAAAGCGUGCGCAGGCGGUUUUGUAAGUCUGACGUGAAAUCCCCGGGCUCAACCUGGGAAUUGCGUUGGAGACUGCAAGGCUAGAAUCUGGCAGAGGGGGGUAGAAUUCCACGUGUAGCAGUGAAAUGCGUAGAGAUGUGGAGGAACACCGAUGGCGAAGGCAGCCCCCUGGGUCAAAACUGACGCUCAUGCACGAAAGCGUGGGGAGCAAACAGG
rnacentral:rRNA from 1 species